rnacentral:rRNA from 1 species
GGACAAUGGGGGCAACCCUGAUCCAGCCAUGCCGCGUGAGUGAUGACGGCCUUAGGGUUGUAAAGCACUUUCAGCAGUGAAGAUAAUGACAUUAACUGCAGAAGAAGCCCCGGCUAACUUCGUGCCAGCAGCCGCGGUAAUACGAAGGGGGCUAGCGUUGUUCGGAAUCACUGGGCGUAAAGAGUACGUAGGCGGACUGAUCAGUCAGGGGUGAAAUCCCAGGGCUCAACCCCGGAACUGCCUUUGAUACUGUCAGUCUUGAGAUCGAGAGAGGUGAGUGGAACUCCGAGUGUAGAGGUGAAAUUCGUAGAUAUUCGGAAGAACACCAGUGGCGAAGGCGGCUCACUGGCUCGAUACUGACGCUGAGGUACGAAAGCGUGGGGAGCAAACAGGAUUAGAUACCCUGGUAGUCCACGCCGUAAAC